rnacentral:lncRNA from 1 species
UAAUGUGGUGCUGAGGUUGAAUGGACCACAGCCAACUCCCUCUGCCUGGGAAGUGAAGAGGAAGAAUGAAUUGUUUUCUAGAGGAGAUGGUGCUGGUUGGAAAGAAAAUGUCCAAAGAGAUCGGUGGAUGUGGAGACUUGGUCUGGCACUUGUGAGCAACAGUGUCCUUCACCAAGGCAGAGAUGUAAAAGACUAUCAAAGAAAGACAGAGUUGAAAGACCAGUUCUUCAGGAAAUCAUGUGCAUAUCAGACUUCAGUUUCUUCAGCCAUUUUUCCAGGGAGCUUCCAGCCUUUGACCUCAGACUGGUGCUGUGUCCUUGAUCCUUCUUGUCCUGCAGCUUCCAGCUUCUUGGACUGAGCAGCUACUGGGUUCACCAGGUCUCUAGUGCAGAGGGCCACUGUGGACUCCCCUACCUCUGAUCUUCACACGGUGGUGUCAUGUGGAGGGGAUUAGAGGCACAAGAAAGAGUGGCAGAGAGAAACUGGGGGCAUGAAUUGUGAUUGGUGAUGGGACAAUGACAGUUUCUCCUCUGCAAUGUCCCUCUGUCAUGCCACUCUGCCUUGGAGCCAGUCAAUGUUGGACUGAAAUCUCUACAAACUCAGAAGGCAUGACUGGGUUGGAACUCAAAACUUCCAUCAAGAAAAUCAAGAUUGUGGAAGAAGAGGACAAUGAUGAUCUGAAAUGACACUGUGGUGAUGGCACUGUCCAGAAGAAAGCCUGUCAUGGGGAACCUAAACUCAUACACUGGCAGUGACAUGGCUUCCUGAGAAUAGUCCGUACUACUCCAAGUAUUAGCUUUUGAUAUUAACAUUCACUUUAAUUUAAAUGUUACAAGUCUUGUUUAUCAUCAUGGUUAUAAAUAAGGACUAAAGAAUAUGAAGAUAGCAGGCUUGUGUAUGUCACCAGGUCACAAGCUCCAAACAAUCCAUCCAAAUUAUCAUACAUCUCUACCUAUUUAGAGACAAAGUUUUGAAGAAACUUAAAGGACCAAGAUCAGAAUUGCCUGACUAAAGUAAGGAUUUCUCUCUCAUCUAUCUAUAUAACGAAAAAUCUCUAUACAGUAUGCCAUCCAACCUUCAAUUCCAUAGAUACAAAUAACAUUUCCUAGGAUUAAUUAAAAAGAUUCUUACAAGACACUUAAGGUAAAUGAUGUUUUACAAAAACCACAGGAAAAAAGUGUAAUUACCAAAGCCAUUCUAGAUGUACUUUGUAACUCAAAAUGAGACAUAUGUUAUAGUAGAUCAAGUAAUCAUCCAUGCAUGCCAAAGGGGAAAAGGCAUGUGGAAAACUACACAAAUGUUUCAGAUGAGUUUUCCUAGAAGCUGAGACCAAGAUGAUAAUUCUUGAACAAGUGUUUUACUCAGAAGAAAUCUAUAAGGAAGGGAGGAAAGCAAGAAUAAUGCAGUAAUAAUGCAGCAAUAAUGUGGUUUCAGUUGAAAACUCACAUUAACUUGGCCUACGGGAGCUCAGAAGUUGAACAGUGUCACAAAGAUAUCCAGCCUUGAAGAAAAGGGGACGAGCUUUUGUAUCCCAAUGUCAUUGGCUGUGAAGUGUCCCAACAGCAUUUCUGGUUGAGGAACUCAUGUUGGCUGAAGGAAGUUCUUCAGAGAAACACUCUUCUAUGAGCUGCCCUCAUAGGCACUGGGCAUGGUUCCAUUGACUGGUGAAGAAAAUCAGGACAAGGCACCAAAAGCAUUUAUUACAAGCUAUCCUUUGCACUGUUCAGAAUCACUUUCUCUUCCCUUUAAGAUCAUGGAAUUUGGGCAUGCUUUCUGUAGCAUUCUGAUUCAGAGACAGGAAUCUCCAAGAUCAAGGUACAACAGGGCCCAGCUUAUGAUGAAGACUUGCUUACAAAUGGCUGCCUUCUUUCUGCAACCUCAUAUGAUCUUUCUUCUGAGCACAUAAAGAGAGAAGGGGAGAGAGGAGCAGAGAAGGAGAGACACUCUCUCUCUUUCUAAAGUCGUUCCCAUACUAUUAAAUUGGGACCACCCUUAUGUCCUCACUUAAUCUUACUUAGCCCCUAAAAGCCCUAUCUGUGUAGUCAUAUUGGGGUUUAGGAAUUGGAGGAGUGCAUACUUCUGUCACAGUAAUGAGUGAGGAAGUUCUUGACUACACUACUAGUGAUAAUAAAAGGAAGAAAAAAGGAAAGGAUUUUCUGUGGUGUGUAUUUUCUCUUUUCUUUUCUUUUCAUCUCUUUUCUUUCUGGUAGUAUUAGAGGUUGAACCCAGGGUCUCACACUGAGCUAGCUACAUGCCUGACUCUUUGUUUUUAUUUUUAUUUGAUACAGGUCCUUGCUAAUUUGCUGUUGCCUAGCUUGGGCUCAGACUUGCAAUUCUCCUGACUUAGCCUCUCAGAGUGCUGGGAACACAAGCAUGCACCACCAUACCAAGCUUAGUGUGACUAUUUUACAUUUUAUUUUGUAAGGUUAUGGAGAUUUUGUUAUUCUUGUAAGAUGAGGAAAGACAGUAGUAGGCUGAGGAAAGACAGUAGGGAAAGGGAGAAGUAGAAGACACAGAAGGUAAUUGAUGGGAACAAUUAUA